GAUGAAGAACGCAGUGAAAUGCGAUAAGUAAUGUGAAUUGCAGAAUUCAGUGAAUCAUCGAAUCUUUGAACGCACAUUGCGCCCAUUAGUAUUCUAGUGGGCAUGCCUGUUCGUGCGUCAUUUCAACCCUUAAGCCUAGCUUAGUGUUGGGAAUCUGCUGUAUUGCAGUUCCUCAAAUACAACGGCGGAUCUGUAACAUCCUCUGAGCGUAGUAAAUUUUUAUCUCGCUUUUGUUAGGUGUUGCAGCUCUCAGCCGCUAAACCCCCCAAUUUUUGUGGUUGACCUCGGAUCAGGUAGGAAUACCCGCUGAACUUAAGCAUAUCAAUAAGCGGAGGA
rnacentral:misc_RNA from 1 species